rnacentral:rRNA from 1 species
UAGGGGGCAAGCGUUAUCCGGAUUUACUGGGUGUAAAGGGAGCGUAGACGGAGCAGCAAGUCUGAUGUGAAAGGCAGGGGCUCAACCCCUGGACUGCAUUGGAAACUGUUGAUCUUGAGUACCGGAGGGGUAAGCGGAAUUCCUAGUGUAGCGGUGAAAUGCGUAGAUAUUAGGAGGAACACCAGUGGCGAAGGCGGCUUACUGGACGGUAACUGACGUUGAGGCUCGAAAGCGUGGGGAGCAA